AUUGUUUUAUACAAUAUACAAUGUAUAUUCACUUUUACUACCAACUGAUAGAUUAAAACAAUCUUUACCAUUCAGUAAUAACAAGCACUUUUUUUACAUUUUAAUAUUUUAUGAUGUAUUUAAAUGAGUAGUUAUUGUUGCAAACUUCAUUAGAAAUUUGAAUUGAGAUCAGUUUUGAAAUAAGGGAAAGGGGGAUGUGAAAAAAAAAUUGGGGGGUCAAUUUUUUUCAUUUCAGAUUUCAUAAAUAAAAAGAAAAUUUAUUCAAACAUUUUUUUGAGAGGAUUAAUAUUCAACAGCAUAGUGAAUUGCUCAAAGGCAAAACAAAAAUUUUAAGUUCAUUAGACCACAUUCAUUCUGUGUCAGAAACCUAUGCUGUGUCAACUAUUUAAUCACAAUCCAAAUUUAGAGCUGAAUCCAGCUUGAAUGUUGUGUCCAUACUUGCCCCAACCGUUCAGGGUUCAACCUCUGCGGUCGUAUAAAGCUGCGCCCUGUGGAGCAUCUGGUUUCAAAU
rnacentral:lncRNA from 1 species